rnacentral:rRNA from 1 species
CGCUCCUAACAGCUAGCCCCUCCCCCCAAAAUCAACAAACAACAUUAAUAAGCCGACAAACCCAACAUAUUAAUUAACAAAUCAUUUUUCCCCCUUAGUAUGGGAGACAGAAA